UGGUUUGAUUCUGGCUCAGGAUGAACGCUGGCGGCAUGCCUAAUACAUGCAAGUCGAACGGAGUGAAGCCUUCGGGUUUCAUUCAGUGGCGAACGGGUGAGUAAUACGCAGGGAACCUGGCCAUGGCAGGGGGAUACACUCUGGAAACGGAGCAUAAGACCCCAUAGGCAGUAAGGCGGCAUCGCCUUACUGUUAAAGAAAGCUGAAAGGCUUUGGCGAUGGAUGGACCUGCGGUGCAUUAGCUUGUUGGUGAGGCAACGGCUUACCAAGGCGAUGAUGCAUAGCCGGCCUGAGAGGGCGGACGGCCACACUGGGACUGAGACACGGCCCAGACUCCUGCGGGAGGCAGCAGUAGGGAAUUUUCGUCAAUGGGCGCAAGCCUGAACGAGCAAUGCCGCGUGAGUGAGGAAGGUCUUCGGACUGUAAAGCUCUGUUGCCGGGGAAAAAGGGGAAAUGCAGGAAAUGGCAUUUCAUGGAUGGUACCCGGCCAGAAAGCCACGGCUAACUACGUGCCAGCAGCCGCGGUAAUACGUAGGUGGCGAGCGUUAUCCGGAAUGAUUGGGCGUAAAGGGUGCGCAGGCGGUCUGUUAAGUCUGAAGGCAAAGGGAUGAGCUCAACUCAUUUAUGAUUCAGAAACUGGCAGACUUGAGGACAGGAGAGCGCGGUGGAACUCCAUGUGUAGCGGUAAAAUGCGCAGAGAUAUGGAAGAACACCAGUGGCGAAGGCGGCCGCCUGGCCUGUGACUGACGCUGAGGCACGAAAGCGUGGGGAGCAAAUAGGAUUAGAUACCCUAGUAGUCCACGCCGUAAACGAUGAGGAGCAGGUGUUGGGAGUGAAAUCUCAGUGCCGAAGCCAACGCAGUGACUCCUCCGCCUGGGGAGUAUGCACGCAAGUGUGAAACUCAAAGGAAUUGACGGGGGCCCGCACAAGCGGUGGAGUAUGUGGUUUAAUUCGAAGCAACGCGAAGAACCUUACCAGGUUUUGACAUCGGAUGCGAAGGCGCAGAGAUGCGCUGGAGGCUAUCAUCCAGACAGGUGGUGCAUGGUUGUCGUCAGCUCGUGUCGUGAGAUGUUCAGUUAAGUCUGGCAACGAGCGCAACCCCCGUGGUAUGUUACUAACGCAUUAGGGCGAGGACUCAUAUCAGACUGCCGGUGACAAACCGGAGGAAGGCGGGGAUGACGUCAAAUCAUCAUGCCCCUUAUGACCUGGGCUACACACGUACUACAAUGGCGUCUACAGAGGGAAGCGACCCUGAGAAGGGAAGCGAAACCGGAAAAGGGCGUCCCAGUUCGGAUUGAAGUCUGCAACCCGACUUCAUGAAGAUGGAAUCGCUAGUAAUCGCGGAUCAGCAUGCCGCGGUGAAUACGUUCCCGGGCCUUGUACACACCGCCCGUCAAACCAUGGAAGCCGGCAACGCCCGAAGCCGGUGGCAUAACCUUUUAGGAGUGAGCCGUCGAAGGCGGGGCCGAUGACUGGGGUUAAGUCGUAACAAGGUACCC
rnacentral:rRNA from 1 species